rnacentral:rRNA from 1 species
UUCGGAGCGUAAACUCCUUUUAUCAGGAAAGAAUAAUGACGGUACCUGAUGAAUAAGCACCGGCUAACUCCGUGCCAGCAGCCGCGGUAAUACGGGGGGUGCAAGCGUUACUCGGAAUCACUGGGCGUAAAGGACGCGUAGGCGGAUUAUCAAGUCUUUUGUGAAAUCUAGUGGCUUAACCACUAAACUGCUUAGGAAACUGAUAGUCUAGAGUAGGGGAGAGGUAGAUGGAAUUCUUGGUGUAGGGGUAAAAUCCGUAGAGAUCAAGAAGAAUACCCAUUGCGAAAGCGAUCUGCUGGAACCUAACUGACGCUGAGGCGUGAAAGCGUGGGUAGCAAACAGGAUUAGAUACCCUGGUAGUCCACGCCCUAAACGAUGUAUACUAGUUGUUGCUUUGCUAGUCAAGGCAGUAAUGCAGCUAACGCAUUAAGUAUACCGCCUGGGGAGUACGGUCGCAAGAUUAAAACUCAAAGGAAUAGACGGGGACCCGCACGAGCGGUGGAGCAUGUGGUUUAAUUCGAAGAUACGCGAAGAACCUUACCUGGACUUGACAUCCUAAAAACAUCUAAGAGAUUAGAAAGUGCUAGUUUACUAGAAUUUAGUGACAGGUGCUGCACGGCUGUCGUCAGCUCGUGUCSUGAGAUGUUGGGUUAAGUCCCGCAACGAGCGCAACCCACGUGUUUAGUUGCUAACAGCUSGGCUGAGCACUCUAAACAGACUGCGUUCGCA